rnacentral:rRNA from 1 species
GUUAUGCAAGUUGGUAGGGGAGCAUUCUAUUAUAGGGAGAAGCAUGACCGGAAGGACAUGUGGACGAGAUAGAAGAGAGAAUGCCGGAAUGAGUAGCGAGAAUUAUGUGAGAAUCAUAAUGGUCGAAAACCUAAGGUUUCUUGAGGAAGGUUCGUCCGCUCAAGGUAAGCCGGGAGCUAAGGCGAGGCCGAAAGACGUAGUCGAUGCACAUACGGUAGAAAUUCCGUAGCCACCGAAAUUGUUAAGCACAGGGACGCAGGAACAUAAUCCAACCGCACCGAUGGUCGAGUGCGGCGAAAGGGAGCGAAAAUUAAGUAGCGAAGUGGAUGAUUGUACACUGACGAGAAAAGCUGUGUGGAUUGAUGAGGUGCCCGUACCGUAAACCGACACAGGUGGGUGAGGAGAGAAUCCUAAGACCAGCGGGAGAGGUGUUGUUAAGGAACUCGGCAAAUUGACCCCGUAACUUCGGGAAAAGGGGUGCCUGCUAGCGCAGGCCGCAGAGAAUAGGCCCAAGCGACUUUUAGCAAAAACACAGGUCUCUGCUAAAUCGAAAGAUGAAGUAUAGGGGCUGACGCCUGCCCGGUGCCGGAAGGUUAAGAGGAGGACUUAGCGCAAGCGAAGGUCUGAAUUGAAGCCCCGGUAAACGGCGGCCGUAACAAUAACGGUCCUAAGGUAGCGAAGUUCCUUGUCAGGUAAGUUCUGACCCGCACGAAUGGCGUAACGAUUUGGGCACUGUCUCGACAACACACCCGGUGAAAUUGUAGUACCGGUGAAGAUGCCGGUUACCCGCGACUAGACGGAAAGACCCCAUGGAGCUUUACUGUAACUUGAUAUUGGAUUUUGGUAUUGCAUGUACAGGAUAGGUGGGAGACUGAGAAGCACAGACGCCAGUUUGUGUGGAGUCAAUGUUGGGAUACCACUCUUGUGAUACUGGAAUUCUAACCUGCGGCCGUGAAACCGGUCGGGGGACAAUGUCUGGUGGACAGUUUGACUGGGGCGGUCGCCUCCUAAAGAGUAACGGAGGCGUUCAAAGGUUAGCUCAGUACGGUCAGAAAUCGUACGAAGAGUGCAAACGCAAAAGCAAGCCUAACUGCGAGACGAACAGGUCGAGCAGUAACGAAAGUUGGAGUUAGUGAUCCGGCGGUAAGAGAGUGGAAUUGCCGUCGCUCAACGGAUAAAAGCUACCCUGGGGAUAACAGCCUGAUCUCCCCCAAGAGUCCAUAUCGACGGGGAGGUUUGGCACCUUGAUGUCGGCUCAUCGCAUCCUGGAGCUGGAGUCGGUUCCAAGGGUUGGGCUGUUCGCCCAUUAAAGCGGUACGCGAGCUGGGUUCAGAACGUCGCGAGACAGUUCGGUCCCUAUCUGUCGCGGGCGCAGGAAACUUGAAGGGAGCUGUCCUUAGUACGAGAGGACCGGGAUGGACGUACCACUGGUGUACCAGCUGUCUUGCCAAAGGCACGGCUGGGUAGCUAAGUACGGAAGGAAUAAACGCUGAAGGCAUCUAAGCGUGAAGUCCCCCCUAAGAUAAGAUUUCCCAUUCUUUAAAAGAAGUAAGACCCCACGUAGACUAUGUGGUUGAUAGGUCGGAGGUGUAAGUGUGGUAACACAUUAAGCUGACCGAUACUAAUAGGUCGAGGGCUUGACC